rnacentral:sRNA from 1 species
UUAAGAGACGCUGGUCGCCGCAGGCGUGAAGCUUGGAUUUGGGCUGGGACUGGGAAGUCUCGCUAAAGGGUGAAUCAUGUUUAAGAAGGUCAACAGGAUUGAGCACAAGAGGAAUAAGACAGAAAAACCAAAAAAGCUUAAUCCAUGGAUUCCACGCAUCUUCAACCACCAAUGCUAUGUCACCUUCCUUACUGGCUGCUAUAGUUGCCUCUGGAAAUUCAGACAAUGGGAAAAAACUAAAGUUGGAUUUUGUUGCUGCACUUGGGUACAGACUGAUAAGGAGCUGGGCCACAUUUUCUCAGAUGUGGGGAGCAUAGGCUGGCCGCUGGCCCCAUGAGGGCUUUUUACGGUCUCCAGGACUGGGGAUGCUAGGGCUCCAUUUCUUCCAUAAAAGUAUUGCACCGAUGUUAAACUUACUGAAACACGUACUUGCUUUCUUCAUUUUCUUUCCUUCACUUCAUUUUUCACUUUUAUUCUUUACUUUUCCUUACUACCUCUUUUAUGUUUAUUCAUUAAUUCACUUUUGCAUUUAUUCAUUCAGUGAAUCUUGAAGAAAAAG